GCAAGCCAGUAAAGAACAUCCCUCCAUGGCCUCUCACAGUGCCAAGCCUCAGCUGUUCUGCUCAACUCCUUCAUGCCUUCAAAACCAGUACCACCUGGGUGACUCUUACACAUUACCAAGUCCAGCCACAGCACAAGGUACAACUUUGGCUAUAUCUGGAACACAGCCACUGUGCUCUCAGAAAACACUUCCCAGAAGAUGUCACCUCAAUGAUGCUGGUCUCUUCUUAAUCACCGCUAAUUUCUUAGCUCCAGCUAACCAGCAUCAAUAGUCCCAGUAAUGCAAAGCUUUUGCUUCAGUAGUUCUGGUAUCUUGUUAAUCACAGCUGAUUCUUCAGCCCCAGCUAACCAGAACUACAGAAUCUUCACAAUCAAAACAGCAAUGGCCCUGAAAAGAGUCUUUAAUUUUCCCUCUGAAAUUUCACAAGCCAGGCCUCCAUCUUCUGCACUGUUCUCAACAUUAUCUUCCAAGCUCCUACACAACAUCCCACAGAGCUCUUAACAACAAAUGGAUCUUCAAGACCAAAGUUCCAAAGUCCUUCCACAGACCUCCCCAAAACAUGGUCAGGUUGUCACAGGAAUACCCCACUCUGCUGGUACCAAUUUGUCUUAGUCAGGGUUUCUAUUCCU
rnacentral:lncRNA from 1 species